CUCCCAACCCCAGGCUCUGGGAGAAGGAGCAGGCACACACCAGUGUGCGAAUGCAGCUGCAACACUCGCUGGAAGGAGAGCUGCACAGGGGACUAUGACACUGCAGUGAGAACGAAGAAACCGACUCCAUACAUGAGCAUGGAGGAGCAGCCCCAGCAUGGCAGUGAGCAGCACAAACCAGUCAUUGAAAGCAUCAUUGUGACACCAUUUAUAGAAAACGAAGAAGAGACAGAGUUCACGGCGUGAGCCUGGACGCUGGGAGGCCCAGGAGGAGGCUGGCACAAAGGAGAGGGGACAGGCCAUGCAGUCCAAGGUGAGGAAGCAGUAUGGGCUGGUGUCAGGGCUGGUGGUGUGUGUUUGUGUGUGUGUGUGUGUGUGUGUGUGUGUGUAGAAAGUCCCCUUCAUCCCUAGAUUCUGAGGAAAGGGAGGGGCCCAUGCCAGCAUCCCCUCAAAGUCUGGGAAACCUGGAUUCCAGCCUCGUAGCGUCAGAAUAUCAGAACAGCCAGACCUGGCAGGGGAGGGGCCAGGGAGAAGGAGCAGAGGCAGUAUUUUCCCAGGGUCCCCUGGGGAG